CCUUGCUGUGGCCUGAUUGGGAGUGGGGGGGUGGGCCGCGGGUGGCCCGCUGAUUGUGGGCUUGGCGGUCCCACCCGCUUUGGCGGACAGACUGUGGGCAGGAGUGAUGGGGGUUGAAACGUGCUUGGGAGCUGGGCUCAGCCUCUUGGCUUUUGCUUUGCAAGGAGAACGUUCCUGGCUGGUCUGUUGGUCCAAGGGCUGGAGAAGCGUGGGGCAGACCUGGACCCCACCUGGAGUGGGGAAGUACCUCUGGCUGAGAGUCGGUGCCGUUGUUUGGAGACACGGAGCUCUGUCAUUUGUUCCCCCAGAGCGUUAUUGGGGUAACGGCUAGAGACAGAGAAAAUCGGUCUUCCUGCACACAUUUCCUCGUCUGGAAAAUGUGUUGAUCGUCCCACCGUGGUGUGGCUGGGAGCAGUUCGCGAGCUAUUGUGUGUAACGGGCCCGGGGAGCUCACCCUGCCGUGAGCUCUGCUUUCGCCGCCUCUCCCCGGGCACCAGCUCCUGGGGGCCUUGAGGUAUGUGGACCCACGGCCACGUGGCUCCACGCUCCGUCACCUCCUCUGCACAGAGCAGCGAGGAACCGAGACCUGUAAUCCGGCCGGCCGUAGGCUGCGCUGGCCUCUCUGAACUGGUGCCCUUGUUGCAAUUCGGGGCUCUCAGAAUUGAUCUCUUGGGUUCAAUCAUACGUUUCAAAUGUUUUUUGUCUAGAGAGAGAGCACGCACGCGGGGUAGAAAGGCAGAAUUUUAGGCAGGCUCCGUGUGUAGCACAGAGUCCAAUGCAGGGCCCGAUCCCCUGACCCUGGGAUCACCACCUGAGCCGAAACCGAGUUGGACACGAACACGAUGGAGCCACCCGGGUGCCCCUAGGAUGAAACUCGUGCAAGUACAUCUUACCCGGCGUCUGGGGCACUCAGUAGAGGGUGGUGCUUCCAACCAGGCGGAAUCUCGGAGCCUCACGUUGAAAGGGCCCGGGGCAGACGCAAGCGCGCCUGUCUUCUGCGCCCACCAGAGGGCAGCAGGGAGCCGCGCCAGACCUAGGACACCACUCAGGUGGCCGUGCACCCUCCAGGAGACCCCUUUCCACGUGAGGGGCGGGUCGGCCACUGACCCGCCGGAAACCCCUUCUCCCCCAGGUGUCUGUUCCUGUCAAAGAUGAGGACCCGGGCCCAGAGCCCAGCCUUGACUUGUGAGGACGACACGGGAGCCAUGGGUACACUGGCCGCAGGACCCUGCUAAAGACGCCCGGCGUGGACGUGUCGGAGCCGCGCUAUUACCACGACGCGAACCCGGCCUCGCCCCCGCACGUGCUCGGCCGCCUGGUAGCCAAGGAGGGGACGCGACCACACGGCACGGCCGCCACAGCUGUCCCUCCAGCCCGCCCUAGGGAGGUGGGGUGCGGAAGCGGAUCUUCUUGGCCGUCUCCACGUCAGAUUUGGCAACCAGAAAACGCAUCUUCUUUCCUCCGUGUCGGAUCAGGUCCACAGCCCUGAAAGCCGGCCAGGGGAGACGCGUGGUGUAGCCGACUCGCCACGGGUCCAGCCUCGGGGUGCGUGGGGCACCUGGGGCGCCUGGGUUGGGGACCCCCCCCCCGAGGGGCCCCGCUGGGGCUGCCGUGUUGUCAGAGGUCGAAGAGUGGGCUGGGGGCCGGGGCUAAGGGGCCCGGGCUCCCCUAACAGCUGGGCGGUCCGGGCCCAAGGGCAGGCGUACCUCAGGUAGCCGACGCCCAUCAGGCUGCUGCCGUUCACCUCGAGGAUGCGGUCACCCAGGGCCAGGCGGCCGUCGGCUGCUGCGGGGCUGCCCGGGAGCAGCGUCUGGAUGUAGAGCCCGGGGGCCCCCAGCGGCGUGUGCUGCAGGCCAAGUAGCAGCUCAGGGCUGGGCGGGCCCGGCGGGGGGGGGGGGGGGGGCGCUCUCGUGGCCUCCGCCAUGUCCGCACGGGCAACACCGGACAGCACCCACCCCCCACCCCCCACCCAAGCCCGGUACCCUGAGGUCUGAGGACAGAGGGGACACGGCCGGCCCGGGGAAGUGGCUGCCGCACGGGCCCUUCUCUCAAGCGCCACCGAGCUGCCCCACUGAGCCCGGUCCCGAGCCCGCGGCCGGCCCUGCCCUGCCCUGCCCUGCCCGCCCGUGGUCUCCCAGUGACCGCGCGAGCCGUGGGCCUGCGUGGGGCGGUCCUGAGCAGGAGGAGCCCAGGGGGCCGCUCACCAUCCCGUCGAUCAGGCCCAUCCCCAGGCCGGAGGGACCCCGCUCCAGCUCUACCACAAACACGUAGCAGAAGUCCUCGGCGCUGGAGCUGCGGCUGGAGAGGGCUGGCGGGGGCUCGUCCGCCGGAGCCACGCCGUCUCCUGGGCAGGUCAGAUCCGGCCUUCGGGCAGAGCGUGUGGCUGCUGUCCCCUCACCGGCAAGCAGGUGCCCUGCCUCAGGCCUGGAUCUGCCCAGGUGACCCCUGGCCUUGGGGCACACCCGGAGUCUGCAGGGGCACUGCCGGGGGCUGCUCUGCCCUGCACUUCAUGGCCCCCCCGGCCCUACCCCCAGCCUCCUACCUGGUGCACACCACCUGAGCCGUCCCUUCCUCCACCCUGGGGGGAGGGACUUCGUCCCACAGGCGGCUGUGCGUGCACCCUAUGCCCUCCGACGGGGGCCUGAACCACCCUGCGCCCGCCUCACGUGGCCCCUAGAGCCUGCCCAGCAUGGGCUACGGGCGUUCGUGGGCAGGUACCAGAAGCCCAGGCCAAACGUGCCCCUAGGGCCGCACGGUUACAGUGACCCAAAGGGGCCCCGCCCAGGUGCCGGGGGGGGGGGGGGGGACUGGGGGCUGUUGGGAGCCUGGGGACAGG